AGAGUUUGAUCCUGGCUCAGGAUGAACGCUAGCGGCAGGCUUAACACAUGCAAGUCGAGGGGUAGUAGUAGCAAUACUAUGAGACCGGCAAACGGGUGCGGAACACGUACACAAUCUACCUUUAUCUGGGGCAUAGCCCGAAGAAAUUCGGAUUAAUUCCCCAUAAUAUAAUUGGAUGGCAUCAUUUGAUUAUUAAAACUCCGGUGGAUAGAGAUGAGUGUGCGUCCCAUUAGCUAGUUGGUAGGGUAACGGCCUACCAAGGCGACGAUGGGUAGCUGGUGUGAGAGCACGACCAGCCACACGGGCACUGAGACACGGGCCCGACUCCUACGGGAGGCAGCAGUGAGGAAUAUUGGUCAAUGGACGCAAGUCUGAACCAGCCAUGCCGCGUGAAGGAUGAAGGCCUUCUGGGUUGUAAACUUCUUUUAUGUGGGAAGAAAACUACGGUUUCUACUGUAGCCGACGGUACCAUAGGAAUAAGCACCGGCUAACUCCGUGCCAGCAGCCGCGGUAAUACGGAGGGUGCAAGCGUUAUCCGGAUUCACUGGGUUUAAAGGGUGUGUAGGCGGGCUGUUAAGUCAGUGGUGAAAUCUCCGGGCUCAACCCGGAAACUGCCAUUGAUACUAUCAGUCUUGAAUUCUGUUGAGGUGGGCGGAAUAUGUCAUGUAGCGGUGAAAUGCAUAGAUAUGACAUAGAACACCAAUUGCGAAGGCAGCUCACUAAGCAGCGAUUGACGCUGAGGCACGAAAGCGUGGGGAUCAAACAGGAUUAGAUACCCUGGUAGUCC
rnacentral:rRNA from 1 species